rnacentral:misc_RNA from 1 species
GAUGAAGAACGCAGCGAAAUGCGAUAAGUAAUGUGAAUUGCAGAAUUCAGUGAAUCAUCGAAUCUUUGAACGCAUAUUGCGCCCCUUGGUAUUCCGAAGGGCAUGCCUGUUAGAGCGUCAUGAUCAACCCCUCAAGCCUUGCUUGGUAUUGGGUUUCGUCUCCCCUGUCUCUGUACAGUUAGUGACGUACCUGAAAGUCAAUGGUGGUGCCUCAGUAGACUCAGGCGAAGCAGACUGACUCGCUUUAGAGAACUUUUGGUGGUCCCAUCAACAAAAUAACCAAAAUUUGACCUCGGAUCAGGUAGGGAUACCCGCUGAACUUAAGCAUAUCAAUAAGCGGAGGA